UACAGAGGUGGCAAGCGUUGUUCGGAAUUACUGGGCGUAAAGGGCGCGUAGGCGGCCAUCUAAGUCAGACGUGAAAUCCCCCGGCUUAACCUGGGAACUGCGUCUGAUACUGGAAGGCUUGAGUAUGGGAGAGGGAUGUAGAAUUCCAGGUGUAGCGGUGAAAUGCGUGGAGAUCAAGAGGAACACUCGUGGCGAAAGCGAGCUACUGGACAAUAUCUGACGCUGAGGCUCGAAGGCCAGGGUAGCGAAAGGG
rnacentral:rRNA from 1 species